ensembl:lncRNA
GAAACACGGCGGCUCAAACGCUCAAAAGUUUGGUUAUACUUUACGAGAGCGGAUGACAACAGGGCAACUUUCAAUACUUGCAAAGUAGAUAUUUCAUUUAAGGGAGGAAACACUACGAAUAUGCAAAAGCAUUUGCUCACAAAACACACGAUGACCUUAAAUGAAUGUCGUGGUUUUAAUUCAGCUCGUGAAUCUCAACCCAGCAGCAGCGGUAACGUUUGCACGUCCUCUCCCGUUAAUGCGGCAGGUGACCAUGAUGAGAGAGACAGAGUCUGGCUGGCGCUCGCUGGCAGUUCUCGCUGCAGUCUACCGGUAGCGUCUCCUUUCAGGCCAGGAUAGACGAAUGUCACCGAGCAGUGACUAAGUUUGUGGUCAAAGGCUUGCCACAGCAGAUGCCCCGAUUUUCAGAAUGUUGUUUACAUGGAUUGGGCAGUGUUUCAGGAAUGCAGGCUGUUCUGAGGAAAUGACUGUUGUCUCCAGAGGGAACUUCUACCGGCUGACUGGAAAUCCAGAGGGAGAAAGGUUGACAGGGAGAGACUUUAAUGGCACAUUCAAAGGUUUCCUAGGAAAAGGAAUACAAUCUCAGAUUUAAUGGCAUCCCCAUUAUUAGGUGACUUGGCAUUUCGUUUAAUUUCUCUCCUUGAAAUUGAAAACAAAGAGUGGUAACAGCCCAGUGAGUUGUGCCAUUUUUCAGUAUGACGAGAGAGAGGUUUGGUUUUGUGUAAGUACAGAAAACAAGAGUUGAUUAUUUGCUUUUCUGCCCACACAGAGUUAUAGAUUGCUAAACUGUAGGCUGGGUGUUUCAUCCUGUUUGAUGGAAACACAUAAUUCUCAUUAACCUGACGUUGAGUCAGAGGGGGUUUGCGGAUAGAAGAAAGCGGCGGCUGGUUAACUCAAUUUUCCCUUUAGAUCAUUCUUAUAGAGUGCAGAGAAGAAUAAGUGGAUAGAAAAUUAUUCUUAAUGAGCAGCACUGAUUUCAGUUUUUCUGAGGCUCAUUAGGUGCAAACUAUGGUGCCUAAAAUAUCCAAAUCCUU